rnacentral:rRNA from 1 species
GAUGAACGCUAGCGGGAGGCCUAACACAUGCAAGCCGAGCGGUAGAGAUUCUUCGGAAUCUUGAGAGCGGCGUACGGGUGCGGAACACGUGUGCAACCUACCUUUAUCUGGAGGAUAGCCUUUCGAAAGGAAGAUUAAUACUCCAUAAUAUAUUGAUUGGCAUCAAUUGAUAUUGAAAGCUCCGGCGGAUAGAGAUGGGCACGCGCAAGAUUAGUUAGUUGGUGAGGUAACGGCUCACCAAGACGAUGAUCUUUAGGGGCCUGAGAGGGUGAUCCCCCACACUGGUACUGAGACACGGACCAGACUCCUACGGGAGGCAGCAGUGAGGAAUAUUGGUCAAUGGGUGCAAGCCUGAACCAGCCAUCCCGCGUGAAGGACGACUGCCCUAUGGGUUGUAAACUUCUUUUGUAUAGGGAUAAACCUACCCUCGUGAGGGUAGCUGAAGGCACUAUACGAAUAAGCACCGGCUAACUCCGUGCCAGCAGCCGCGGUAAU